rnacentral:lncRNA from 1 species
ACCAAAAUAGAAUCUCAAAAGUCUUCUGUCCAUGUCGUCGAGCUGACUCUGUCAAGGUUCGAGUCGACUAUGGCACGUCUUCCUGUAGUGGCCAGAAAAUCUACUUUUUAUUCUCCUGUCAGAGUCAGCUCUCUCAGGAUUUGAGCCGGCUCGAUCUAGAUCUGAGCCGACUCGAUCUGCUGUGUCAUCCACUGGGGUCAGAAACAUAACUCUCUAUAUGCUAUCUGAGCUGACUCGCUCAGAGCUCGAGCUAACUCGA